CUCUUUCAUUUUCUUAUUCUCUCCUCGUCUGUUGCUGCCCGAGAGAUGAUUUGAGAAUUUCAUUGAGAAAAUCAGUUUAUGAGAAGGAGUAGAUUAAGCAGUAGAUGUUACUGAUGUUAUGAGGAGAUGAUGCUGAUGUUUAUCAAGUUUGGGAAAGAAGAAGCUGAUGUUAUUGAUCAGAAAUUAGGGUUUAUAGAGGUGAUUCAGGUUCUGAAGAUUUAUGAGAGGAAAUUACAGCUAUGAUUGAAUGAAUAAACAAGGGUUAAGGUUUAAAUUGAAGUUUUGGGGUUGUUCUGUAGUUGAUUCGAGGAUGAAUAAAUGAGUUAGGGUUCUUAUGAACUGGAAGUUCGAUUAGUGAUGAAUAAAAAGAUUUAAGGAGUGGGUUUAGUCAAUUGAGGAACUGGGUGAAGUUAAUUGGAUGUUACAGAGCUGUUUAUGAAGAAAUGAAGAAUUAGGGUUACAUGAGAAGAAUUCUGAGAAGAUUUAGAAGAUGAAAUUGAAGCUUUAAAAUUUUGAUUAGAGGUGGGUUUGACGUUAAUUGGAGUAUAGGUUGAAGAAUACUUGAAGAUUUACAGUUAAGGUUUUGAAAUUGAGGUUUGAAGUUGUUGAUGGAACUUAGGGUUUGGAUUUAACUUCGGGGAUUAGUUGAUGAAAACAGAAUGAGAAAUAUUGAUGAUUUGAUCAAUAGAACGAGGAGAUUGUGGUUAUUGGAAGAUGAAGUAGUUAUGAUAAUGAAUUAGGAAAUUAGGUUUGGUGUUGAAGAAUAGGAAUUGAGUUACUGAGAACAAAGGAUGUGAUGAAGGUUGUUGAGUGUUUGUUGAGUUGAAUUGAUGAGAUGAGGAUGGUUUUGAGAUGAUCUGCUGAAUUGAAUCAGAAACAAAGAAGGGUUUGAUACAAUUGUGGAGUGAAUCUAUUUUGAGGUAAUAGUUCUUCUGAUUUGAUUAUUGAAGUUAUUUAACCUUUUCCAUUGUAUAUAGAAGUAGACUUUGAAAUUAAGAUAUGAGAUGAACAUUAUGGUUAUAUAAUGAGUUGUACUUGCGUUUUAAGAUCAUGCUAGUCAUAGAGAAUUGGUAAGUGCAGGAAUGAUACAUGGAAUGAGCUUUUAGUGAUGAAAUGAUGUUGUUAAAUCUGGUGGUGAUGAUAUCAAUGUUACAGGGGAGUAGAUUAUAUUGGUGGUGGUUCUGUGGUUUUAAGUUUGAACUAAAGUUUGUAUUGUGUCAGUGUUGAAGUUAUAGGGAUGAGUUGGUAAUGGUGGCUGUAGAUGUAUGCUGAAGAUGAUGUUGUUCUAUGGAGGUGCAGUUGACUGGAUGAAGUUGUAGUUGUUGGAGUUGCUUGUGAGAUGAUGAAGUUGUAAUGAGUUCAGCUGAAGUUAAUUGUGCUGGAAGGAGCUGUAAUAUGUGAGGGUAUAUGGAAUUAUGUUGGGUAUCAAGGAUUGCUUGCAAUGGUGGUGGUGUCGUUGCUAAAUCUGGUGGUGGUAGUGAAUCGGAAUACUAUUGAAGUGGUGGAUGGUUUGGGUUUGGUAAUGAAACUGAGUUUGAGUUCAGUUUGGUGAGUGUGUAGUCAUUGAAAUAUUGUAAGUGAUGAUGUGGUAAUUCAUGGAAACAGUAUGAGAUGUGUAGUAAGUGAUGAUGAUUGUAAGGAAUAGCUAUUAGCUCCAGUGGAGGCUUGCUACUGCAUUUGCAGUUAGUCUAUAUUAACAACGAUCGAUUCAAAGGAUGAACCAAUGGAUCGUGGAUCUCGAGGCAGGCUUGGCUUGUCAUCAAAAGAGGUGGGAAUACAUUUGACUCUUUGUAAUCAUUGUUGUUUCUUUUACAAAAGUCUUUGUUUAAUAAACUUAUGCAUUGUCAGUUUAUGCAUUCCAUGUUUUAUUUAA